rnacentral:misc_RNA from 1 species
GAACGCACAUUGCGCCUCCUGGUAUUCCGGGAGGCAUGCCUGUUCGAGCGUCAUUAAAAACCAUCAAGCACUCUUUGCUUGGACUUGGUAGAUGAGUGCCUACGGUCCUCACUGCCGAAAUUGAAUGGCGGAUAGCCUUGGGGUGCCCCAGCGUAGUAAGUCUUCUUUCGCUUGGAACCCAAAGACGGUCCUGCCCUCAACCCCCACAUCUUAUGGUUGACCUCGGAUCAGGUAGGGAUACCCGCUGAACUUAAG